rnacentral:rRNA from 1 species
UACGUAGGGUGCGAGCGUUAAUCGGAAUUACUGGGCGUAAAGUGUGCGCAGGCGGCCAUGCAAGUCGAGUGUGAAAGCCCCGGGCUUAACUUGGGAAUUGCGCUCGAAACUACGUGGCUGGAGUGUGGUAGGGGAGAUCGGAAUUCCUGGUGUAGCGGUGAAAUGCGCAGAUAUCAGGAGGAACACCGGUGGCGAAGGCGGAUCUCUGGGCCAUUACUGACGCUGAGGAGCGAAAGCGUGGGGAGCGAACAGG